AAGCUCUUUAACCUCACCAAGCCUCGGUUUCCUUACCUGUAAAACGGGAGUGAUAUCUAAUCCGGAAGGGUUAUUGUAAAUAAUAUGCUUGAUAAUGCCUGUCAAGUGCUUGGCUUAGUGCUUGGCACAUUUGGUCUAAUACAUAUUCAUCAUCAUUAUUAUUAUCAUUAUUCUCUGCUUGUAAUGCCCUUGUCUCCUGUUCUAUCAAACCCUUCAAUAAAGGUUAGCUUUUAGUGGUUUUUGUUAUUUUUAAGUAAUGCCUGAAGCAGGAAAAUGAACAUGAUAAAGGACUGCUCCUUGGGGAAGAUGAUGUAAUAUUAACUUUGUUCAAAAGAAAUAGCUAACAAAAGGGAGUCCGGGUAGCACUGAAGGGCAGGCGAGAAAUACAGCACAUGAGCCUGCGUGGAAAACCGUGCCCCCGGAAGAGACAGAGAAAAGUAGGGCCACCCGCCUCUUGUUUUGGGAACAAUUUUCGAUCUGACGUGUCAGGAAGAAUAUAUCUAUCAUCCUUAAAUGCGGUCAGGACUCUCAACCCAGAUGUUUGAUGUCCCGGGAUUUAAGGAAUUUGCAGAUACGAGGCAGAAGCAUUGCUUGUGAUUGUUGAGAAACAACACAAAACAGAGGAGAUGGGCAAAGACUGGAAACAGCUCGCUUUUCCAAAAACAAGAAUCCAGAAGCUCUGGAUUGAGCAGUCUAGGAUCAAACUGAUGAAACUCUAAACAGAUAGAGUGGUAGAUUGCUCGUUUGUGUGCACGUAGAAAAUAUAUAGAUACCCAGGAGCUAGCAGAGGGUCACUAAAAAGAAAUCAUCCAAAAUUAACAUGGUUUUUUACUAGGUAUAUUUUUCGAGGAUAUUAGAGGAAUAUGAUUGGCAUAUGGUUGAUUUCAGUAAAACAUUUAAUGAGGUCAUUCCUUCUCACAUUGUGGAUAAGAUGGAGAACUGUGGUCUGGGCACUGGUACAACGAUGUGACUUCAGAAAUGUCCCCUAGAAUGCCAGUUGUGCCCCCCAAGUGCCCCCCAAGAUUUCAGGAGAAUCUCUUUAAAGGUGGUCUGUCCAAUGGCUGUGUAAGUGACACAGAACUCAUGCUCAUAGAUGCAUAGACACCACCCAGCCAGGAAAGUUCAAUUACCAGAUGGUCACAGUGUCAGGAUGCAAACAGGUCCCCAGCACCUGAAGUGAUGGGCUUACUCCGAACAAAAUGUAAGGCAGACAUGCAAGUGAUUUCUGUAGAUAACCCACCCUCGAGGAGACAGAGCGUAACUUCCCACUCCCAAAGUGCAGACUGUACCUUGUGACUUCCUUCCAAGAAGGACAGUGUAGCGAGGGGCAGGGAUGAUCACUGUAACCUCAUGGCAGAGAAACCUGACAAACACCACCUCAGCCAGGUGCUCAAGGUGGACAUCAAUAGGGACAAGUCAUGUUGAGGGCAUGAUUGCAUACCUCGGUAUGAUGUGAUAACAGUGAUGCUUUAUCUCUGUGGUCCCCCUCCCCAAAACCUGUAACCCCCAUCUUAUUAGAGAAAAAUAUUAGGCAAUUUCUAAUUGAGGACGUUCUACAAAAUGCCUGGCCAGCGCUCUUCAAAACUGUCAAGAUCAUCAAAAAGAAAUGCUAGGACACUUUCACCCUCUAGAGGAGCCUGAGGAGAUAAUGACAACUAAGUAUAAGGUGACGUCCUAGAUGGAACCUUAGGUAAAAACUCAGGAAACCUGAAUACAGUAUGGUCUGUGCGUAAUAAUAAUUGUGGGGAAAUGUAGCACAUUAACAUGUAAGAUGUUAGUAACAGAGGAGAAGGGGUGUGGAACUCUCUGCACUAUAUUCACAGUUUUUCUGUAAAUCUAAAACUAUUCUGAAAUCAAAAAUGCUUAUUUUAAAAACGCAAUGGAUGUAAGUGUAAACUCCUGCUUUUAACAUAAAAAACGACUUAUAAUGUAAGUGUAUCUUGGGGAACAUCCAGAUUAAAUACAGCUUAUGAGAAAGGCAUCCCAGGCUUUCUGUCGACCACAUCUCAGUGUCUGGUGCUGGGCAGCACGGCUGUAAGAGGCCGCGAAGCCCACUGCUCCUCCAGCACUACCUCCAGACAGCUUGGCGGCUCUCUACUACUCAGACCACAGGAGGACUCUCAACUCUGCAGCCCAAGCUUCCUGGGUUCAAGCCCAGGCUCUACCCCAUUCUAGCUGUAAGAACCUGGCCAACUCACUUAAUCUCUCGGAUCCUCAGUUUCCUCAUUUGCAAAGCGGGCAAACAAUGAUGAAUGCUUCAUAGAGCCAUUGGCGGAGCAAAGCCCCCCUGGCCCAUGCCAACUGCUCAGGAGGUGCAAUUCUGUGGGCAACAGAGGUCUGACUGGGGCAAGGCAGGAUCUCUGCCUUAUUUUUUGAGGGUAAACCUUCUUUCAGAAGGGUGUUCUGUAUCUCAGAGAAUAGCAUUAGAUGAGGGGAGCGAUGGGGAACUCGUGAUACUGACCUUGGAGAAACCACCAGACCAGAGGAGCUAUUGCUUCAAUGCAAAGUGAAAGCCAGCAAAGGGAAGUGACAGUCUUCGUGAUUAAUUUACUGAAACCCUAAGUACCUCCCUAAGCCUUUCUGGAUCUGUGCUUCUUUAUCCUCCACGUACAGAUAAGGACACAUUUUGGUCAAUUUUGCAGGGUAACUGAGAGGAUAAAAUGUGUUAAUAAAUAUGGAAGAGCACUGAAUGAGAAGCAACUGUUGUUAAGCCUGGAGGUACAAUAGACGGUGACAGAUGGAUCUGGAUUUACAUAAAAUGACACAGACGCUGAUUUUCUGAAUAUUUUUGCUAAAAUCAACAACAG